UACGUAGGCAGCGAGCGUUGUUCGGAGUUACUGGGCGUAAAGGGUGUGUAGGCGGUUGUUUAAGUUUGGUGUGAAAUCUCCCGGCUCAACUGGGAGGGUGCGCCGAAUACUGAAUGACUUGGAGUGCGGGAGAGGAGAGUGGAAUUCCUGGUGUAGCGGUGAAAUGCGUAGAUAUCAGGAGGAACACCGGUGGUGUAGACGGCUCUCUGGACCGUAACUGACGCUGAGACGCGAAAGCGUGGGGAGCGAACAGG
rnacentral:rRNA from 1 species